rnacentral:RNase_P_RNA from 1 species
AUGGCCUGCCACGAGGAAAGUCCGGGCUCCGGAGGGCAAAGUGCCAGUUAACGGCUGGGAGGCGUAAGCCUACGGAAAGUGCCACAGAAAAUAUACCUCCUGUUAGGCGCAAGCUUAAUCGGUAAGGGUGAAAUGGUGCGGUAAGAGCGCACCGCGUUGCUGGUAACAGCAAUGGCAGGGCAAACCCCACUUGGAGCAAGACCAAAUAGGAACGCAUUUUGCAUGGCCCAUGUAGCGUUCGGGUAGGUUGCUUGAGCUUACUGGUGACAGUAAGCCUAGAGGAAUGAUUGUCCAAGACAGAACCCGGCUUAUCGGUUGGCUACUAGA